CUCAAAUCUCAAUAAUUAGCGUCUCUAUAACUUUUACUUAUAUAAUAUAAUUCUUAAUAAUAAUGUACUGUUCAAACUUAUCUUUUUUCACGACUGAGCACAACUCUUCAAUUCCUGACAAUUCUUUAUCUUUAAUAUAUCUUCGCCUUCGUAUAAUCCUUUUAAAUCUUUCUUUAUUAAUUUGUAAUUUCUAUAUAUCUUCACGGCGAUGUUAUUCAGGCUUUCGCCUUAUGAAUAAUGCAUGAAUUGUCUAGUUGUGCUCAGGCUUUUAUACGCUCUGCUAUAGGGGAAGAAACUACAAAACUACGACUCAUUUCCCCCACGCAAUACAGUUCGUUGAAGCAAGUCUCAGUAACCACAAAUCGGCCAACGCCAAACCGAGUCAUGUCCGCUACGUUAGUUGUGGGACAUCUUAAUCUUUAAAACUAUUUGCUUACUCAUGCAUGUAAGCUAUUCGGUUAAUAAUAUGAAUAUAAAGUAUAAGCUAUAUAGUAUAAUAUAAUAGUAUGUAAAAUUACAUGAUAUAAGCAUUAUCAUGUAACACCCUCCCCCUUGAAAGAAAGAAAGUUUCUUAACUUUCUUUUCAAUGAAGCGUGUUUGUCAAGUGUUCAUGGCCUUGAAAGACAAUCAGCGAUCAAGUUGUCUUGUCCUUUUAUGUGUUGUAUGUGCAUGUUGUAUUCUGAUAAUAUCAAGCUCCAUCGCAACAAACGUUGAUUCUUGUCCUUCAUUCGGUGGAUGAAAACCAGUGGAUUGUGAUCACUGAAUACUUCGAUAGGAACUCCGGCUGAAGAAACAUACACGUCAAAAUGUUGAAGGGCGAGGAUAAGGGCAAGACAUUCUUUUUCAACUGUGGAAUAAUUGCGUUGAUGGUGGUUAAACUUGCGGGAAAAAUAAGCUACCGGAUGGUCGAUUCCAUCGUCGUCCUCUUGUAAUAAUACUGCUCCGGCAGCGAUGUCACUUGCAUCUACAGCUAGUUUAAAG